CGAACUCAACAAUUGACAGUCAGAAACUCAUUUUUAAGCGGAAUUUUUUUUCAAUUAUAAACAAAGUAGCCGAUAAAUUCAGGCAAUUUGUAAAAAGGUUGGGCUAAUAGUAAAAUUUUGCGCAAUCUAUAAAAUUAUAAUUUAGUUUUUCUUAACUCGUUUUUUUCUUUUUAUACAUUUUGUUCGGAUACAAGGUAAAGGAAAAUCUAAUCGAGAAGAUGAGUCGAUUCUUUGGAGUGGAUGUUGCCGAGUUUAACGAAAACGCGACAAACACUGGAUUUGGGUUUCGUCCCGAUUUUUCCGGCGGAUUCAGUGGGCCCCCCUUUUGGGCGGUUGUGACAAACUGGGUUGUAUCUGGGACUUCACUUGUGUCCCAGGGAGUUGUCGUCCUCAUAGCCCGGGGGCUAGAAGGGGACUUUUCUGCGCGGACGCUGAUGUGGAUGCAAGCUAUCUUCGAGUGCUUCAAGCGAAUCCUAAGCAUCAUCAUGACCUGCUACUCAACCAUUUACGGACAGUCAAUGCAUGGGAUAUCGAUGAUGAUCUGCCGAUUGAUGACAGCGAUUACUUUCUUUGUCAUGGUCUCUCCCGACUGGAUAGCUGCCCUGAUAUCUAUGGAUCGCAUAAUUGCUGUGCACAAGACAUGGAUGUGCUCUUCUUAA